rnacentral:rRNA from 1 species
CGCCUGGGGAGUACGGUCGCAAGAUUAAAACUCAAAGGAAUUGACGGGGGCCCACACAAACGGUGGAGCAUGUGGUUUAAUUCGAAGCAACGCGCAGAACCUUACCAACCCUUGACAUCCUGUGCUAACCCGAGAGAUCGGGCGUUCACUUCGGUGACGCAGUGACAGGUGCUGCAUGGCUGUCGUCAGCUCGUGUCGUGAGAUGUUCGGUUAAGUCCGGCAACGAGCGCAACCCACAUCCUUAGUUGCCAGCAGUUCGGCUGGGCACUCUAAGGAAACUGCCCGUGAUAAGCGGGAGGAAGGUGUGGAUGACGUCAAGUCCUCAUGGCCCUUACGGGUUGGGCUACACACGUACUACAAUGGCAGUGACAAUGGGUUAAUCCCAAAAGGCUGUCUCAGUUCGGAUUGGGGUCUGCAACUCGACCCCAUGAAGUCGGAAUCGCUAGUAAUCGCGUAACAGCAUGACGCGGUGAAUACGUUCCCGGGCCUUGUACACACCGCCCGUCACAUCAUGGGAGUUGGUUCUACCCGACGACGCUGCGCUAACCUUCGGGGGGCAGGCGGCCACGGUAGGAUCAGCGACUGGGGUGAAGUCGUAACAAGGUAACCGUA